CUAGAAUAGCAUUUUCCAACAAAUUUUCCAUUAAGGAAGAGUACAAGUUUACCAGAUUCAUACACACAUUUGAUACCCAAUUUUUCUAAGAGAUUACCACUUACUAAAUUCAUAUUCAUAUCUGGAACAUGUAGUGCAUUGGUAAGCUAACGAUUUUCCCGGAAGUGAAGAUGAUAUCAACAUUUCCCUUUCCAAUAACCAUGGAUCGAAACUUCGUUGCCCAUUUGAAUCUCUUGGUCUCAAUUCACCUUAUAAUAUGUUUUGAAUACAGUUUUGUCAUAUGAUAUAUGUACAGUAGCACAAGUAUCACACCACCAUCCAUGAACCUUUCCCUUGAAUGCAUUUAUUUCGUUUACGGUGGCCACGAUUUUAUCUUCUUGGAUGGAGUUCACUUUGCCCUCAAAGUUGUUUUGUUUUCGAUGCCUACAAUCUUUUGCAUAAUGUCUAGAUUUUUCACACACAAAACACCCUCCUUUGGUCUUCUUCUUAGACUUGUUAAAGUUCCUCGGAGGCUUCCUCUUGUUAGAUUUUGUUGGCGGUUCAGAUUUUUCAACAGCAUUAGCUUUGGAAGUUCCCUUAAAGGAGUUUUCACUCUUGUCACGCAAUCUGGAUUUUUCCUUGAUCCAAAAAUGCUUUUACAAUUAUUUCAAGGAAUAAUUUUCGGAACUAUGCAUGAUUUUCUUCCGGUAUCCUUUCCAAGCCCCUGGGAGUUUAGCAAUUAUGGCUCCCACUUGAAAGGUCUCCAGGAUUUCAAUCUUUACCACUUUUAGUUUGUUGACAAUGACUUGCAAUUCGUGUACUUUGGGAAGAAGCGGGAUAUUAUCAAGGAAUUUUAAAGUCGAAGUAUUUAGAAAUUAGAAACUUCUUGGUACCUUCCUCUUCCAUUUUGUACUUAUUCUCCAAUGCUUCCCAGAUUUCCUUUGCAGAAGUUGUGUUUGUGUAUGUCAUAUAAAAGGUCCGACAAAGCAUUUAGUAUGUGACCAUGGCAUAUCAAUUCAUCUUCUUGUCGUUUCUGUCUUUCAGCCUUGAUUGCCUUGAUCUCUCCAUUUGUAGGUUCCGAUAGUAGAGCCAAUUCUGGAUCCAAAAUAUAAAAGAUCUUCAAUGCAGUAAGUAGAAAUUUCAACUUGUCUUGCCACCGCACAAAGUUUGUACCAUCGAACCGAUCCAACCGUACCAAGUCUUGAUUCAUAAGUUUGAUGGUCGUCAUUGUAGUCUCGUUCUCCAUUACAAGAAAGAUUACAUUUGAAAUUGUUGGAAAUAAUUGAGAGAUGGAGAAGAAAUAAAAGAGAAAAUCACAAGAAAAUAUGGUAACAAGAUGGAUCAAAACAAAAUUUAUAUCAACAAAUGUGAAGACUUGAACACAAGAUCGUUGUCCUCAAACGUUAUUUGUCCCUUCUCCGAUAUAUUUGAGAUGCUAAAAGGUAUUUCGGCAAAUGGUUUGAAGGAUUAUAACAAGCCUUGUAAAGAAUUUCACCAAAGCACAAGAUUAAAUUCUCCAAAACUUGAAGAACACGAGGAUAUGAAUAUAAAUCGGGAUAUGAUUUUUCUUGGAACAAAGUAUGGAUUGCAAGAUAUUUUUCUUACUACUUUCCCUCAAACAUGGCUCUCCAAUAUAUAGUCAUCGACCAGAAGUACGCAAUGGUGCCAAAAAAUCAAGUGAAAAGUCACCAAUUUCAAAUUUGCAACGGUUAAAAAAUACGUACCAUGUGACAGCAUGUUACAAACCCAUGCGGUCGCAUGGUUCACCCAUGCCAAGACCAUUUGGUCUCGGCCUAAGGUCAUGUGAUCGCAUGGACCCUUUUUUUUACUUUAUUAUUUUUUGUUGUUGAUUUUGAACAACAUAAUCACAGCAAUUACAUGUUUCGAGACUUUAUUAAUUGAGCUGAGAUCCAAUAUCAUUAGAAGUGUUUGAUGUUUUGUAGCAAAUAAGCUAUUUAGCAUGCAAUAUGUUUACAUGAUUUAAGACUUGAUUAAUUGAGUUGAGAUACAAUAUCCGUUUAAAUAUUUGAUGAAUUGUGCCAAAAAUACUCUUGAGACUACGAGCAAGAGUUCCAAUUUGAAUUAGCAGGUUGAUGCAUGAUGAUGUAAUUUUUGUUAAAGUUUUCAUGCAUAUGUGAACUAAAAACUUGAUUGAUUGGAAUAUAUCCAUAAUAUGAUAUGAAGAAGAAAUUGGCACAUACAUGUUCAUUUCAAGGCUUACUGUGGCAUAUUUGAAAGAGAUCCUGUCAUGCAUAUUGAUUUCAUUGCCUACUAUGUGAUGCUUGGAUUUGCAUGUCCACUUCAACGCAAUUAUGUUAUAUUUGACUAAUUAAUACUUGCAAAGUUCUUU
rnacentral:lncRNA from 1 species